rnacentral:rRNA from 1 species
CCUACGGGAGGCAGCAGUGAGGAAUAUUGGUCAAUGGACGCAAGUCUGAACCAGCCAUGCCGCGUGCAGGAAGACGGCUCUAUGAGUUGUAAACUGCUUUUGUACGAGGGUAAACGCAGAUACGCGUAUCUGUCUGAAAGGAUCGUACGAAUAAGGAUCGGCUAACUCCGUGCCAGCCGCCGCGGUAAUAAGGAGGAUUCAAGCGUUAUCCGGAUUUAUUGGGUUUAAAGGGUGCGUAGGCGGUCGGAUAAGUUAGAGGUGAAAUCCCGAGGCUCAACUUCGGACUUGCCGCUGAUACUGAUCGGCUAGAGAGUAGGUGCGGUAGGCGGAAUGUAUGGUGUAGCGGUGAAAUGCUUAGAGAUCAUACAGAACACCGAUUGCGAAGGCAGCUUACCAAGCUACUUCUGACGUUGAGGCACGAAAGCGUGGGGAGCAAACAGGAUUAGAUACCCGGGUAGUC